UUUUUGGAAAAGGUCAACUGAUUCAAGACAUACUGUAUGGCAGUAUGUCUGUCUGAUUGUAGAUCAAAAUAGUGAUGUACUCAUUGUGCACUUGGUUCAUAGACCUACACCUAUGAUGUAUAAUUUUAUUUCAUCGGCCUGUAUGUGUUGAAUGUUUUAUGUUUUCUAUUCAAUAUGAAUGAACAAUCCAACUGCAGCUGUUAGUGAAGGUUGCACUAAAAUGUCGCAAUGACAAAGUUACACUGAAUACUGCACUGAAUGAACCGUUCAAAUGUUACAAAUAAGUUACAAUAUUGAUGUUUUAAUAUACUGGUUACACUAAUAUGAACAACGUUAUGAUAUUUGUUACAAUAAAGUAACAAUUUUGAAUUAUGUUGAUGGUUGUAUGUUUUUUUGUCUUUUAUCUCAAUAUUCCUAGUGUUGUAUAAAGGUUUUUAUGUAUAACAGUAACCCUAGAGUUUAAAAUGUGUUAGUAACUGGGGCUGAGAUAUAUAAGAAUUUUGAUGACUGCAGAAAUACGUUAAUUCAGUAUAAACAUUAUCUCACGAUUGUGAUCGACCAUAAAACACCAUUUUUCACACACUUUUCCAAAAAAUAAUAAUAAUUAUUAUUAUUAUUGAUUAUUUCAGGGGGUUACUAAUGACACUUCAUUUGGAUAUUUUCAUGUCUGGGAAAAAUUUGGGAUUAAAUAAACCCUUCCAAUUCAUGACAGGAACGUGGCAUGUAAAACUACCCCCAUCUGAUCAAAGCACCACUGACGAAAAUAAUGAAAGAAAGUUCCUAAGCAAUUCAAUUCAAAUCUAAGUCAAGUCAAGAGUAUUUCAUCAAGCAUUAUACUUUGGGCUAACUCGAGUUCAAGUUCCUCAUCUUGUGUCCUUACUUGUCAUUAUCAACAAACUAUCACAUCUCACUUGACUUGCUGAUUAACUAAGUCUAUUUUAAUAAGACUGCCAUACUGAUCAAAUUAACAGUGCUGCGUCGUUCAUUGUUUCAAUGAAAAUCAUACGAAGAUAUAAAUACACCAGAUGUAGAUUUUUCUCAAACAACACACAACACACCAUAAUCUCCAAUCACUGACCUAAAUAAUACCUGCAUACACAAAUCCACUUUAUACCAUAUGUCCGACGAGUCAAUGAAAUGGAACACUACCUCUUCAUACUCUUCCAUAUUAAUCUCCUGGUCUCUCUCACACUCUCUCUUGCUCUCUCAUCCAGCUCUCUUUUCUCUCCGUGUACAGUGUUAUUCCACACCUCUAUUAUUUAGGAACAAAGGCUUAUCUAUUCUAAAAAAAGACCUACCUUGGUGUACUCAGCAGAUUACUACACCUGGGACACCAUUACACACACACACACACACACACACACACACACACAGAAAUUAAUUACAACCCUUGCAUUGUUCAAACCACAUCCCCCCAAACAUCGACUCUCAGCAACCGUUCUGUGUUUACAUACUGUAAGGUCCUGUCAUCAGGCCUGUAACACAACACAACAUGGAUGUUAACCACAAGCAGUGAAACCUGAUAAUCAUGAGAAAUAGGACACGAUACAGAACUGUCCAAUUACACAAACACUCUCAUCAAGCUCAUUCAUAUUUAUUUUAUCAUACAUUUAUAUAUGAUGCACAUUUUGUGUACUACGCUGCAAUUCUUACUACCUCUAUAGAUAUAAGGAUUAAAACACUUCAGGACAUGCUGUUAUAGGAAAAUAAUCAACAACGAGAGGGUGCAUUCUGUUACCACCUGUUACGAUCUGGCAUCAUCUGAUAGAAACGGUGUACUUUUUAUACUAUCUGUUUGUGGUUAGAUUUAAUGUUGUGGAACAGUCACAAUACUAGUUAUUUUGUGUUGUUCCUUUAUGCUGCUAAUUACAGCAGUAUAUUAAACAGCUGUUUCUUCACUUUCUCUUGAAGAGUCAUGCUGUUAUAGAAAAUUCUCACCUUCUCACCCAUCAUAUUAAAUAUCAUACUCGUUUGUUCAUUCAAAUUUCAUUUGUUCAGCAAUAAUCUGACUUUUACUGUACUUCCUAGUUUUGUAUUUUGAGAAAUUCUGUCAUAGUUUUCUGCUUUUUCCUUUUUUCGCUGUUGAAAAAAAAGCCGGUUUUGAUCAUUUGCUGGUUAAAAAAAAAACAACUGAGCGCUCUAUACAUUUACUAGGAAUGCCAACAAUAAAUGUACAAUUUAGGUACAGUUAAAUGUAUAGUUAUCUGAUGUUAACUAUAUACUUAUUUACUGUUAGCUAUGUCGAACACAUUGACAGAUUUUAUCUCACCAUAAUAAUCGAAAACGUUCCCCAUUUACGUUGACAGAAAGUGAGUAAGAGAAAGUUCAAGAGGGAAAAUUGAGUCACAACAAGAGCACCAGUCAAAACAUCAGAAAUUUGAGAAGGGGGAAGGGAGCAAGGCAGGUAUCAGUUAAUAUCAGACCGUUCAAUACACUAUUCAAUAUUCAUUUUCAUAUUCAUAUGUGAUUGGCACAUCUACCAUUUUUAUCGGGAUUGUGAGAAGACUAUUUCCACCUCACACCACAUCCAUCCAUCCAUCCAUAUUCUGUACAGCUUAUCCUACACAAGAUUGCGGUGAAGCCUGGAGCCUAUCCCAGGGAAGUUGGGGCACGAGCAGGGGGACACCCUGGACAGGGAGCCAACCCAUGGCAGGACACAAUUGAACGCACAUUCACAUACUACUGACCAUUUGGAAAUGCCUACAGCACAUGUCUUUGGACUGGGGGAGGAAACCAGAGUGCCUAGAGGAAACCCCCGAAGCACGAGGACAACAUACAAGCUCGGUACACACAGGGCAGAGGCGGGAUUUGAACCUCGGAGGUCCAACGCAAACAUGCUAACGGCUGCAUUAUACAGUUUUGAAUACUCAAUAGUGCAUAAGUGUCGAUGGUGCAAUGAUGGAUUAGUUAUAACUGUAAGGUUACGCUGCAAGCCCGUGUGGAUUGUGCCAAUAAGAAGCAGAAGAAUGAUGGGUGGAGAGAGUAAAGACAAAUACAGAAGCAAACAAAAAGAUAUUGAACACUAAGUCUUAUGUUAUUGGGAAUAAUGAGGUACAUUAUGAAUACUAAGGCUUAAAUUAUUGGGAAUAAUUCUCUACUAGACUCUCUCCAGUGGUUUAAACUAAAAGGUGUAAAGCUGCUCCACAGGCUUUGUAUUAUUUCCUGUUAUAGCUGCAAACCAAGACCCACCGGUGGAAAAAGAAUGAAUGAAAGUAAGAGAAUGAUGGUGGUACAUGUGUGUGUGUGUGUGUGUGUGUGUGUGUGUGUGUGUGUUUUAUCCUAAUAAAAUUGAAGGAAGAGUUUAGAUUAGAUUAGUUUCAUCUUCAUGCUGCACCAUGUGCCAAGUCAUCUGAUAGACGAGGAAAUCUACUUACUUAGCCAUACUCUACACAGCUAUAAAUCUAUUCUAAUGAUACAGUCCCUCUCUCACACUCACCCUCUCUCUUCGGCCAGGCUCCAGAUGGUACAUUAAGGAACAGCAUUGUCUUACUCAUCCCUUUCCUGCCUGUCUGUGCAUCAACAAAAAAACAAUGCAUCACAGCUCCGAAUGGAAACGGCGGAGAGGACAGCGUUCCUGAGAUACGCAGUAAUGGCUGCAACAUGAGACACCGUAUAGAUCAACAAUCAAUGAAAACAAUAUGGAACUGAGAUAUGCAAUUAAUCUCAGCGUAGAAGAUCAACCGUAAACACAAGCCUGGGCAGCAUCAGCACUCGUAACAGUAUUCCAUGGGCAGUGCAGAACACUGAUGGCUAACAGAGGCAGUUCAGCAAACACACUUUAUCUGUGUCAGCUGUGGGAAGACCUUAGCGCUGCCCCAAAUGUAUGAUUUCCUGCACUUGUUCUCUGCAGGACAUGCAUGAUUUAGACACAAUUUUCUCGUCAAUGACAAAUCAGCAAUUGUGACUAAGUCAUGCGUGUCCUGCAGAGAACAAGUGCACAGUGUGAGAGGGUAAAUAAAUGUGUUCAUCUGAGCUGCCGGAGGUCAUAAUGAAUUUCAGACAUGUCAGAAAAGCAAGCAUUGUAUUGUGAGCAGUGAUCUGAGAUACACACCAGAAGCCUAUCGCUGUCAGUUAAAGUCAUUUUUAUUAUCAUUGGUUAUGGUUGCUCGGUAAUUAUAUUUAUGUGCUGUAGGGUAUGGCUGUGACUUUUCAUAUAUGUUUUCAUCUAACGGCUAACUAAAUAUGCCCAGUAAUGGUUUUAUGUUCGGUGCCAUUGUCCCCAUUAAAUCUCUUGAUUGAACAUUUUAGACAUUUAAUAAAAAAAUUAUAUAUUACAGAUAAUACUCUUUCUAAUGGAAGUGGAAAGGAAUCCUUAUAUUUCUAUCCUUGUUCUGUUGAUUUCUUGGACUAUGUUUGCUUAAAAUCUGAUGAAAUAGAGGUGUAUUGUGCACAAACCUUUUUUUUUUUUUAAACUGUAGGUUCAUUAGGGCAUUAAUGGAGAAAAUAUAAUGGACAGAAGAAGAAGAAGAAAAAAAUUCAAACUGAACGUGCUGGUUCAUUAGAAUAGGCUUUGGUACUCAAAAACUACAAAUAAACAAACAAACAUUAAUUAGAAAAUGUCUGCACUGGUAGUGAUAAUAUGGUAGAUUAUGAUGUUAGCGGAGAUGGUAAUAGUGGUAGAGAGCCAUUCACGAUCCCUCCAGGAUUUCACGAUUUCUCAAAAUAAAAUGACCACAGAUUGUGGGCAGAUUUGAGCCAAGACGCCUUCGAUUCACGUGCGUCGAACAUGAGUACAGCUAAAAGGUCUCAUUUGCCAACAAACAGCACUGCGAAAGACAAUUUCGUGACAUUGCAAUUUCACCAAUUCGAGCAGUUUUCCGCUAAAAAGCACAAAAAAAAAACCUCAGCAUCUUGCAUCGCACAUCUUGUAAAAAAAGCCACAGCAAAUCAAGCAUUUUUGGCUGCAACGAUCACAAAAAUAUCCUCUACACACUGCAUCCAUAUGAUCAUCUGAUGCUACAUUGUGCUGAUGUGUUAAAGUGUGAACAGUUAGCAUACAGCCAAUGUAUAUGUGAAACAGAGGCAGAGCAACCGUGCAUUAGUAGCUCUGGAGAUAUUGAGAUGUGAAGGUUGUCCAUAAAACUCAUUUCUCAAUACAACUCUAUUUCAGUGAUUUGCUUGUUAAAUGGCCUUGUUUUAUUCCACACAGAAAGCCUGAUGACGUCCUGGAUUCGAUUUAAAAAAAAAAAAAUUCUGAUGGAGACUAAAUAAGUUAGCUAAUUUUAUGAAGUAAAUGAAAGUGUGUUUUCUGUCAUUUAAUAUCAGAUGACAAUAUAGCUGUCCUGGUGACAGAUUGCUAAUAAAUGACAAAAAUGAUUUGACACUGAGAGGACAGGUUUUACAGGAUUUACAGGUGGCAGUGCACAAAUUUGUAAUAAAUAAGAAAUAAAACACAACAUGGAGUGCAGUUCUAGGAAAAUACUGCACAAAAGGUUGCUGUGAAAGUCGAUUAUUUUCCUAUAACAGCACGCCCCAGAGUGUUUUACCCCUCUUUCAGCACAAAUUUCCAACCUUUACAAUUUAUUUAAUGUUGUGGGACAUCCAUGGUAUUGCUCAUGUUGUAGUCGUUAAAGUCGUUAAUCAACACCUUCUGACCAGGUGCAGGAAAUCAACAGUGCUAUGGUAUAAUGUACUAUUAAUCCAUGAGCUCUAUAAUGGCUUGUAAAAUACAGGGUGUCCCUAAGGUUUCCACACAUAGGGGACUACAGUAUGUACACCAGCCUUCAUCAGUGGACGUUCGUGGACGUCCACUUCUCAGUUGGUCCGCAACAAUAACGGUCUUUCUGAAUUAGUGAAUAGGUCAAUGGUAACAGUGGUGUGUGUGAUGUGCUUGCCGUGUUGUCCAUAGCAACCUUGCGACAGCUUGAGAAUCAUUUCAAUACAUUCUUCUUUUGUCAAAGGUGUUCUUAAAGGCUAUCUGGAAUAAAUAAAUAAAUAAAUAAAUAAAUAAAUAAAUAAAAGUUUGGAAAACAUUUGGCUAAAAAGUGUUAAUUUUCCCUAUUAUUUAUUUAUUUACUGUGCGUGUGUAUGUGUGUGUGGGGACAUAUCUGGGAUAAAAUUAUGCUGGAAGGGCCCAUUUUUAAAAUCUUGCCUAAGGCACUACACACACACACACACACACACACACACACACACACACAAUCUGCUCUAGUAGUGCUGAGACUGCAAGAAUAAAGGUAAGUCACGCUGUCUCUGUGCAACUCUUUCUCUCUCGAACCAUCUGUCUCUCCUUUUCUCUUUCUCCCUGACAGAGCAUGUCUUCUCCCUCCUGCAGGCUGAAAGUUCUAGGCCACGUUGUAACAUUUCUCUAUAAGGACGCCCUCUCCGCAAACACAGCAGUUGCUAAAAAAGCAAAUGUCAUUCAUUUUUAAUCUGUCUCUGCAGAGCGUGUGUUGGUCUGCUUCUCUCAGCCUGAGGGAUGGCAGCUUUCAAUAACGUCUUGCCCUUAAUUUGUUUUCCGCUGCAGAGGUAGCAGGAAAAUGUUAGUGCUUUCAUACAAUCGUUCUACACAUCUAACCACAGCCUAAAAUAGAGUCGAGGUGACCUAAAAAUGGACAAACCGUCACUGAGGUUUACUGAAACUGAAGAGAGAGACAGACAGAGAGAGAGAGGGAGAGAGAGAGAGAGAUAGAGAGAGAGAGAGAGAGAGAGAGAGAGAAAGAGUUGGGUGAGAGAGAUAGAGAGAGAGAGAGAGAGAGAGAGAGAGGUGGAGACGAUCUGAAACUGAUCUAAAAACCACUUCCUUCAUUCGUCAGUCUGGAGAUGAAUGUGAACAAACAUGCAAACGACCUGAAGGAAGUCAAACUCUUAUCAUACAGCAGCAGGAGGUUUGACAGCCCAGAGGCUCCACUUCAGCUUCACCAGGGCCCACUGAUCUGACUACACACUGUACCACCCACAGCAGUGUUAAAAUCAGACCUGGAAGCAACACGGCACUCCUUAUAUGAGUCAUUCUUGGGGAAUCCAUCUUUGCUGUACAGAUUUGAAUGACAAAAAAACAACAAAAAAAGUGAGAAUCAAAGACUGAUGUGAAUCAACCUGUGUGGAAGACAGAUUGACGUGUACUCUAUGUGCAGGUGGCACCGUAUAGUAGAUUAAAUGACAGAAUCUUGUUGCACUUUUCUCAGGUCUAUAGUGAAGCAGAACGGUAGUUACUUCCUGUUUUGUGGGUGAGCGCAUGUCAAAAAAAAACAAAACAACACCACACACAGGGGAUAUUUUUGGAGUCACACAAUAUACCGAGAAAUAAAGCAAGCGCAAAAGAGGAAACACCGAACAAGAGUUCCUUCCUGUUUCUGUUUUCUUCUUUUAAACUCUGAGAGAUAGAAAUAGACGAGUGAGGACUAGACGUCCUGGCAACCUGCAACGAGAGCGCGUGAAGCAGAGGUUAUUUCUGG